UACGGAGGGUGCAAGCGUUAUCCGGAAUCACUGGGUUUAAAGGGUGCGUAGGCGGUCAGAUAAGUCAGUUGUGAAAUCGCUGGGCUUAACCCAUGCAAUUGCGAUUGAUACUGUUUGACUUGAAACAGGUUGAGGUAAGCGGAAUGUGGCAUGUAGCGGUGAAAUGCAUAGAUAUGCCAUAGAACACCGAUUGCGAAGGCAGCUUGCUGGACCUGAUUUGACGCUGAGGCACGAAAGCGUGGGGAGCAAACAGG
rnacentral:rRNA from 1 species